GGCCUGCACCCCAAGGGCCACUCCUGGAUCCAGGAAGCACCUCUUUUUACAGCGGGGACAGGGCAACCAGAGAGGUCGUGAACCCCGCCCACGGGCACCCACCAAACUACCGGGGAGGGACAGGACGAAGUGAGCCACAUGAGGAGCUUUGAUUCCAAUUCCAGUGCCGCUGGUUGGUCGCUAGCAGGUAAAACCUCCGGAAAUGGAGUGAAUCCAGCACUGCCCCCAUCAGGCUGCUCUAAGUACUGAGUGCUGAGCUGAAUGGAAAGGGCCAUUAGAGGAAAGAAGGAGGGUGUAUGUCAGGCUUUGUCAAGACUGUCAGAGACGACAGAGGGGCGGCUGAGGAGCUGCAGGUGA